CUGGGUUAUGUCUACCUGCCCCAGACGAGAUCAAUACUUUAAUCCAAUUGCUGUUCACUUACACAGGGGCUGACACCACCUCCUCGGCCCGGCAUGUGUAUGUGUACAUGCGUACAAUCUCAUACACACACACACACACACACACACACACAAAUAGUGCCGAAGCCAUAAGAAGCGAGUCUCUGAAAUUUACAAUACACUGAAAAAUAUGAAAAGUGCACUGAACAUUGUAAGUCAUGCAGAAUGUUGUUGAGUACAGAUGAGUCCCAGAUAUGUCCACAAGCUGCUAAGUAGCAUAGGAACACAUGCAGAAACAAGGCUCAUGCAUGCCUUUGCGGAUAACAUCAAAUUAGCCUCUGUUCGCAGUAUUGUCUGAACACAUAAGCAACUCUUGUCAUCAACGUCACAUCAAAUUUGUGUCCGGUUUGGAAACGCCGCCUCUGGGCAUGACAAUGCAUCCCGACGUAAAAUUUGCUGGAGCUCCCAAUACAGGAUAUAUAUUCUCAAUAAAUGACAAGAGUUUCUAUUCUAUACAAAGAGCAGUAAUAUGUAAGGAAGAAGAAGGGGGGGGGGGGAAGCACAAAAAGAAAAUGUAUGAGGUAAAAUGUACUUACCCCAGCCCCUGAGAUGUAUACACCCAGUCUGACUUCUGCUCUCUUGUUCUCUCUCUCUCUCUCUCUCUCUCUCUGUACGUCGAGUUGUCGUUCCAACCCUGCAUUCCUCCAUCUCAGCAUAUCCCUCCCUUUUCCUCCUCUCUCGCUGGGUCCCUCUUUCUACUAUUUUAAAACUCUGCCCCCUCGUCGCUUCCCUUCCCACUUUUAAACGUCACCAUAUUUUUCUGAUCCACGUCUCAUACUCUUCUUUCCACUCGUACCGAGGCUUUUGACCUAUGUGGUCUCGUCCUUCCUGUAGCAAACUUAACUCGUCUGAGCCUUUCUGACCACUCAUUAGCCUCUACCUCUGCUGCAGUUGCCACUACAUCCAGCUAGCACCGGCUACUGAGACAUAUUUGACAGAGUGGCAGUCAAUAGUCAAUAGGGCAAAGGCAGCAGGAGGUGGGGGAGAGAAGCUUCGUGCAGGAUGAAAGAAAGCAUGGAGGAAUAUUGUUGAAAGCAGGUGGGGUAAGUCUCACAAAGAAAGCAGCUUUUAUUACUAAUGACGUACUGGCAAUGUGACUAAUUAUAACUGGAAGCCCGAAUUACUGAUAAGCAGUUUUGAGAUGAUGUGUGAAAUAAUAAGUGACAUGACAAUUAAAAAAAAAAAAAAAAGAGUCGAGAGUUU
ensembl:lncRNA